AGCACCCAGCGACUGUCAGCUGAGUGGGGCUGCUCCAGGGGCCCCGAGCUGGUGGGGCUCCCUGCACCCGCAGCCCAGACAGAGGGGCUCCCGGGGGAGGGGAAGAGCACACGCACCUGGCGGUAGGCAUUCAAGUGCUGCAGGACUUCGGCCACAGCGGAGUCCCGGGGAGCAGAGUCCCGGGAGCAAAACUGAGGCCCAGGCAGGAUUUCUGGGCGUCCUCCUCCCUGACCCGCUGCAGCGCGCCUCGGUAAGCCUGGUCCUGGCAGUAGACGAUCUGCUCCACCCGGAAGUGAAGUUGGAUCGCCUUCUCUGCCGCUUCUUCUCCGUCCCACCGGAUGUCCUCGAUUUUGUUUUGCGGGAAGAGAAAGCUGACUGUAGACCCACAGGAAGUGAACCCAAAGCCCCGGAAAGAGGUCACCGAGAAGCCGGGAGCUGGGCCACCCCGCUGCACCCCGGCCCCCAGUGCUGUGCGCGGGUUCCACCAGGCCGGGCUGCCUGCCCAGUCCUCAGCCAGGACUCAGCCCUCUGCUCCCUUGCGGGUUUGCUGUCUGAAGGGAGCCCAUGGCGACCCCGGGGUGCCCGGGGACAGGAAGGGCACAGCUGGGUCAGUCCCACCCCACAAGGGGCCUGCCCUGGCUUUGCAGGCCACUGAGGCUUGGCCCAGAAAGCACCCACUGCCUGUGAGGCUCGGUGCUGGGUGGGUCCCGACGCUGUCCCUGUGGUCACUGCCCCUCAGGGACAAGGCACUUGCGCGUUCAGGGCCCAGGCCAGCAAGGUGGCCACCCUCGGGCUGGGGCUGGAGGCCAGCAGAGCUGGGUCCCUGCCAUGCUGAGAGCCCGGUGCUGCCCGCAGGGACCCGCAGGGCACAGACCUGGGCAACAGCUGUCUUGUUCCUCCUCCCACGACCCAGUCCCUGAGGCCCCUUGCUGAGCAUCCACGUGGGGCCCUUCCCUCCCACGGGACCAGAGUCUGCAGCCCGGGCCCUGCUUCGGGAGUUUCCCUUUGUGUCUCUGACCCCUGCUCUGACCCCACACUGCUGGUUGCUAUUCCCAGGCCGCCGGGCGCCCACUUCUCCCACGCAGAGAGGACAUCGGAGUGGGGCUCGGGGCAGAAGUGAUGCCUGCUCCCGGGCAAUUUCUGCUGCCUUCUCGAGCGUCCUGGGCUUACCUUGCAGGUCUU
rnacentral:lncRNA from 1 species